rnacentral:rRNA from 1 species
UACGGGGGGGGGCAAGCGUUGUUCGGAAUUACUGGGCGUAAAGGGCUCGUAGGCGGCCAACUAAGUCAGACGUGAAAUCCCUCGGCUUAACCGGGGAACUGCGUCUGAUACUGGAUAGCUAGAGUUCGGCAGAGGGAAGCGGAAUUUCCGGUGUAGCGGUGAAAUGCGUAGAUAUCGGAAGGAACAUCAGUGGCGAAAGCGGCUCCUGGACCAGAACUGACGAUCAGGCUCGAAAGCGUGGGGGAGCAAACAGG